GAGGGUAUAGCUCAGUGGUAGAGUGCCUGCUUAGCAUGCAUGGGGUUCUGGGUUCAAUCCCCAGUACUGCCC
rnacentral:tRNA from 1 species